AUUGAACGCUGGCGGCAGGCCUAACACAUGCAAGUCGAGCGGAUGAAGGGAGCUUGCUCCUGGAUUCAGCGGCGGACGGGUGAGUAAUGCCUAGGAAUCUGCCUGGUAGUUGGGGAUAACGUCAGGAAACGGGCGCUAAUACCGCAUACGUCCUGAGGGAGAAAGUGGGGGAUCUUCGGACCUCACGCUAUCAGAUGAGCCUAGGUCGGAUUAGCUAGUUGGUGGGGUAAAGGCCUACCAAGGCGACGAUCCGUAACUGGCCUGAGAGGAUGAUCAGUCACACUGGAACUGAGACACGGUCCAGACUCCUACGGGAGGCAGCAGUGGGGAAUAUUGGACAAUGGGCGAAAGCCUGAUCCAGCCAUGCCGCGUGUGUGAAGAAGGUCUUCGGAUUGUAAAGCACUUUAAGUUGGGAGGAAGGGAAGUAAGUUAAUACCUUGCUGUUUUGACGUUACCAACAGAAUAAGCACCGGCUAACUUCGUG
rnacentral:rRNA from 1 species